rnacentral:lncRNA from 1 species
UAGGGAUUUGCUUUGCUUUAUCUUUAUCGUUGCUUUGCUUUUUGAGUCUUUCUGUGCUGAACUUGGUUGGUUUUAUCGUGUUGGAUUACUUAUCAUGGUUGUGAGACUGUUUUAAUCAUAUGGUGUGAGACAUAUGCUAUCCCUAAAUUAUCCUUAUUAUUAUCUUCUUAUCUCCCCAUAUGAUAGCCGUGAGUUAAUUAUCUUGUACCCCUAUCUUCAUGCUCACAUGAUAUAACUUGCUUCUUCACUUAUUAUUGUAUUAGGUCAUUGCAAGGAGUAUCAGCUUAUGGUUUCUAGGGGGAGUUCUAUCCUUGGACUAAGUGCUAUACCUUUCAUAGCACUAUCCUUAAAUCAUGCACUUAUCCAAGGGGAGCCAGUCCUUGGACCAUAGACUUUGGGUUUGCUGUUAUAUUCAGUAUUCUUUCUUUUGUGCAAAUCCGGUAUUGUCAUCAAUUCACCAAAACGGGAGAGAUUGUUAGGGCAUAUUUAUGCCUAAGUGAUUUUGGUGAUUGAUGAAAGUACCUCAGUGGACUAAUCGUGUGCAUUGAGCAUUUCAGAUAAU